UUUUCUUUGUGUUUUGCAUCAGACAUGUCCUCCAAAUUGAAAAAUGUUGUGAGAAUGAAAGGUAUCUUCUUUUGGUAACAUCUAGUUUUAUGAAGUUGUCAUGAAGAAAGGGGAAGUGCCACGGAGCAGCCUGGUUACUCACUAAAUCACAGAUCAUUUUCCAUUUAUUUCAGGUAUGGGAUGGUUUCAAGGAUUCAUAUUAAAAUAACAUCUUCAGUAAUUCAAAAAUAAUGCCGAGAAUGCUGACUUGGCUUCUGACAGAGAUGCACUCCUCUGGAUUGGUGCCCCAGCCUUGAGGAUGCCACUCAGCAGCUUGAGCUCUCAUCCACUGACAAGUUGUGCUGAGCAUACAAGGUCACGGUAGCUGAGUACGUGCCACCUAGCAGGGCUCCACAUUGCUCCAAUAAGCACGUCUGAGAAUCAGAGGACGAAAAAGAUGAUGAGGAAAGGACACAAAGGAUUCUGUUUCUACAGAGUCCUGUAGAAAUUCAUCCAAGAAGGGAAGCCUUUGAUUCUUGUGUCAGCAAGCACACAUUUGUUGUGAUUUUCAAGCAAGUGAAUAGCAUUUCUUCAUCAAAGCAUUUGUACA